ensembl:ncRNA asRNA:CR45889 antisense RNA:CR45889
UCAUACACUUACCAGUGUCGAUCAAAAUACAAAAAACUCGAUGAACUUUAAAAUUGAUAUAUUCCACAAAAUUAUUGUGCGGCAGACAAGGAACUACACUAUUUAUAUAUAUAUCGAGCAAUGGAUAAACCGUGAGCAGCGCCUUCACCCAACACCAACCGAAGACCGACUGAAGAGACAAGGCCUCCUGGGCGGCGCAUGAAUGGCAUGGGAGCUCGAUCCCAGAGACCAGAAGAAAAUACCACUCCGCAGCAAAGAAAAUCAUAAUCAAAGGCCAAAGCAAAAGGCUAGGCCCAGGAGGCAAGGCAAGGCAACAAACAGAAAACUCAAAAAAAAAAAAAAAACAAACGAACACGAAGACCAAACCAAAACCAAAACCAAACCAACGAACCUCCAAUGGAAUGCAGUCGGGCAAGUUUUCUACAAAACUCAGCCACAGAAAAUCAAACUGGCUUGGAGUGCCAUCGAGGUUGGAGCUGCCUUUCGAGUUUUCUGAUUGGAAUAAGCCCAGCCAAACCAACGCAAGCCAAGUCAGCCAGGCCAGGCCAUUUCAUUCCAUUCCCAGUCGGUAAGU